UACGGGGGGGGCAAGCGUUGUUCGGAAUUACUGGGCAUAAAGGGCGUGUAGGCGGCCAACUAAGUCCGACGUGAAAUCCCCAGGCUUAACCUGGGAACUGCGUCGGAUACUGGAUGGCUUGAAUCCGGGAGAGGGAUGCAGAAUUCCAGGUGUAGCGGUGAAAUGCGUAGAUAUCUGGAGGAAUACCGGUGGCGAAGGCGGCAUCCUGGACCGGCAUUGACGCUGAAGCGCGAAAGCUAGGGGAGCAAACAGG
rnacentral:rRNA from 1 species